rnacentral:rRNA from 1 species
GAUUAACGCUGGCGGCGUGCAUAACACAUGCAAGUCGAACGAUGAAACUUUAAUGAACCCUUCGGGGAGAAUUAAAGCGGAUUAGUGGCGAACGGGUGAGUAACGCGUGAGUAACCUGCCUUACACAAGGGGAUAGCCUUUGGAAACGAAGAAUAAUACCCUAUAAAACCAUAAAAGCACAUGCAAUUAUGGUCAAAGUGAUAGCGGUGUAAGAUGGACUUGCGUCUGAUUAGCUAGUUGGUGAGAUAAAAGCCCACCAAGGCAACGAUCAGUAGCCGGCUUGAGAGAGUGUACGGCCACAUUGGGACUGAGACACGGCCCAGACUCCUACGGGAGGCAGCAGUGGGGAAUUUUGCACAAUGGGGAAAACCCUGAUGCAGCGACGCCGCGUGAUUUAGAAGGCCUUCGGGUUGUAAAAAUCUUUUGUAUAGGAAGAAAAUGACAGUACUAUACGAAUAAGGGCCGGCUAAUUACGUG